UCUGGGUUUAUCCCAGCGGUCCCGUCAGAAAAAUAUAACUGACGGCGAGGGUUGCGCUCGUUGCGGGACUUAACCCAACACCUCACGGCACGAGCUGACGACAGCCAUGCACCACCUGUGCAAGAGUCUCUUGCGAGAGGCCCUGGCUUUCACCAAGGUUUCCCAAGCAUGUCAAGUCCAGGUAAGGUUCUUCGCGUUGCCUCGAAUUAAACCACACGCUCCGCUGCUUGUGCGGGCCCCCGCCUAUUCCUUUGAGUUUUAACCUUGCGGCCGUAGUCCCCAGGCGGUGAACUUAAUGCGUUAGCUGCGGCACUGAUCGGGUCAAUCCGACCAACACCUAGUUCACAACGUUUAGGGCGUGGACUAC
rnacentral:misc_RNA from 1 species